AAAUAUCUUCAGGGCGGGGUGUAAUUCCCCACCGGCGGUAUAGCCCGCGAGCCGCAAGGCAUGAUUCGGUGUAACUCCGAAGCCGACAGUAAAGUCUGGAUGAAAGAAGGUAUAA
rnacentral:ncRNA from 16 species